AUUGAACGCUGGCGGCAGGCCUAACACAUGCAAGUCGAACGGAAGCAGGGAGCUUGCUCCUGGAUUCAGCGGCGGACGCGGGAGUAAUGCCUAUGAAUCUGCCUGGUCGCGGGGGAUAACGUCCGGAAAUGGACGCUAUUACCGCUUACGCCCUGAGUGGGAAAGCGGGGGAGCUUGGGAUCUCACGCUCUCAGCUGAGCCCAGGUCGGAUUAGCUAGUUGUUGGGGUAAAGGCCUACCAAGGCGACGAUCCGUAGCUGGUCUGAGAGGAUGAUCAGUCACACUGGAACUGAGACACGGUCCAGACUCCUACGGGAGGCAGCAGUGGGGAAUAUUGCACAAUGGGCGAAAGCCUGAUCCAGCCAUGCCGCGUGUGUGAAGAAGGUCUUCGGGUUGUAAAGCACUUUAAGUUGGGAGGAAGGGCAUUAAGUUAAUACCUUGCAGUAUUGACGUUACCAACAGAAGAAGCACCGGCUAACUUCGUG
rnacentral:rRNA from 1 species